rnacentral:misc_RNA from 1 species
GCAAACUUGGUCAUUUAGAGGAAGUAAAAGUCGUAACAAGGUUUCCGUAGGUGAACCUGCGGAAGGAUCAUUACCGAGUCAGGGUCUGCCCCGGCCGCGUGCGCGUGCGCUCGCGACCUGGGGGCCCGAUCUCCCAACCCGGUGUCUAACCUGUACCUCUAUCUGUUGCCUCGGCGGACCGGCCACGCGUGUCUGCGUGUGACCGCCGGGGGGGGUUCUCCCCCCCUUGGAGAGCGUCCGUCGACGGCCCCAACGUUCAAACUCUUGAUCUCCAAACAUCUGUCUGAACACGUCUUGAAGAAAUUCAAAACACAAAACUUUCAACAACGGAUCUCUUGGUUCUGGCAUCGAUGAAGAACGCAGC